CUAGUACUACGGGACGCAGCAGUGAGGAAUAUUGGACAAUGGACGAGAGUCUGAACCAGCCAAGUAGCGUGAAGGAUGACUGCCCUAUGGGUUGUAACCUUCUUUUAUAUGGGAAUAAAAUGUUCCACGUGUGGGAUUUUGUAUGUACCAUAUGAAUAAGGAUCGGCUAACUCGGUGCCAGCAGCCGCGGUAAUACGGAGGAUCCGAGCGUUAUCCGGAUUUAUUGGGUUUACAGGGAGCGUAGGUGGAUUGUUAAGUCAGUUGUGAACGUUUGCGGCUCAACCGUAAAAUUGCAGUUGAAACUG
rnacentral:rRNA from 1 species